rnacentral:rRNA from 1 species
AUUGAACGCUGGCGGCAUGCCUUACACAUGCAAGUCGAACGGUAACAGGUCUUCGGAUGCUGCCGAGUGGCGAACGGGUGAGUAAUACAUCGGAACGUGCCCGAUCUUGGGGGAUAACGAGGCGAAAGCUUUGCUAAUACCGCAUACGAUCUACGGAUGAAAGCGGUGGAUCUUCGGACCUCGCUCGGACGGAGCGGCCGAUGGCAGAUUAGGUAGUUGGUGGGAUAAAAGCUUACCAAGCCGACGAUCUGUAGCUGGUCUGAGAGGAUGAUCAGCCACACUGGGACUGAGACACGGCCCAGACUCCUACGGGAGGCAGCAGUGGGGAAUUUUGGACAAUGGGCGAAAGCCUGAUCCAGCCAUGCCGCGUGCAGGAUGAAGGCCUUCGGGUUGUAAACUGCUUUUGUACGGAACGAAAAGCCUCUUUCUAAUAAAGAGGGGUCAUGACGGUACCGUAAGAAUAAGCACCGGCUAACUACGUG